UUCGGCUGUCACUUACAGAUGGACCCGCGGCGYAUUAGCUAGUUGGUGAGGUAACGGCUCACCAAGGCKACGAUGCGUAGCSKASCUGAGAGGGUGAUCGGCCACACUGGGACUGAGACACGCCCAGACUCCUACGGGAGGCAGCAGUAGGGAAUCUUCCGCAAUGGACGAAAGUCUGACGGAGCAACGCCGCGUGAGUGAUGAAGGUUUUCGGAUCGUAAAGCUCUGUUGUYAGGGAAGAACAAGUGCAAGAGUACUGCUUSACCUGACGGUACSUAACCAGAAAGCCACKGSUAACUACGUGCCAGCAGCCGCGGUAAUACGUAGGUGGCAAGCGUUGYCCRGKAAUWAUUGGGCGUMAAGGGCUCGCAGGCGGUYUCUUAAGUCUGAUGUGAAAGCCCCCKGSUCAACCGGGKAGGGUCAUUGGAAACUGGGAAACUUGAGUGCAGAAGAGGAGAGUGGAA
rnacentral:rRNA from 1 species